rnacentral:rRNA from 1 species
UACGGGGGGAGCAAGCGUUGUUCGGAUUUACUGGGCGGAAAGGGCGCGUAGGCGGCCACCGCAAGUCGAUUGUGAAAUCUCCGGGCUUAACUCGGAACGGUCAGCUGAUACUGCUUUGCUAGAGUGCAGAAGGGGCAAUCGGAAUUCUUGGUGUAGCGGUGAAAUGCGUAGAUAUCAAGAGGAACACCUGAGGUGAAGACGGGUUGCUGGGCUGACACUGACGCUGAGUGCGCGAAAGCUAGGGUAGCAAACGGG